GGCUCAGUAGCUUAGUUGGUAGAGCACCCGUCUAGCAUACAAGAGUCCUGGGUUUGAAUCCCAGCUGAGCAU
rfam:Aedes aegypti strain Liverpool supercont1.327 genomic scaffold, whole genome shotgun sequence.